ensembl:lncRNA
GGCAGGAUCCAGAGUCAUAUUUGUGUCUAAAGUGUAGGAUAUAAUGAUGCCUUGAACCUAAUUGUCCUGCUUGACUACAUGCAUUUAUAUCCACACAUUUAAUGGAUAUAAUAGCUUAUUUACCAGUUUUUAAUGAGCUCAUUUCUACUCAGCUCCAGUCCUUGCAAGGGUGAUGUAUGGGGACAACAGAAUCAGUAUUUCUUCUACUGAACAAACACAGGAAUGUCUCUGUUGCUUCAUUACUUCUACGUUUGCAUUUCUGGAUUACUCUGUGGAGAAACCAGGCCAUGGUGUGCUUCUUCAUUAAUGAGAUUCACAAGCAGGCUGCAUGCCAUGUCUGUGUUGUUAAGAAGAGAAAUGGGAAGUAUUCACAGAUUAACUGCAGGGAGGUCAAUAAACAGACAUCGUACCAGGAAACAAGUGGAGAACGUGAUAGUCACACCUGCUGCAUUGGAUCUGUCACACAGCACUUUGAAGAUUUGAACUGCACCAUAUUAUGGGAAUCGUUUGGAGUCAUAAAAGAAGGAGUCGGUGUUGCAAGAGGAGUGCUGGCAUAAGAAGCUGAGAGAUCCUCCAUUAACAGAAGAGGUACAAAGAAGGCAGUCAUGACACAAGCUUGCCUCUGCUUAUGAUUAUACUCAUGUUUCCU